rnacentral:rRNA from 1 species
AUCGAUGAAGAACGCAGCGAAAUGCGAUAAGUAAUGUGAAUUGCAGAAUUCAGUGAAUCAUCGAAUCUUUGAACGCACCUUGCGCUCCUUGGUAUUCCGAGGAGCAUGCCUGUUUGAGUGUCAUUAAUAUAUAUAUAUCAAACUUCUCUUGUUGAGGGGUUUGGAUGUGGGGGGGUUUUUGCUGGGCCCUUUUAAAGGGUUCAGCUCUCCUGAAAUGCAUUAGCAGAACGACCCUGUUUCAUUGGUGUGAUAACUAUCUACACUAUUGAAUGCGAGGGGCAGUUCAGCUUUCUAACAGUCCUUGGACAAUUCAUCAUUAAUGUGACCUCAAAUCAGGUAGGACUACCCGCUGAACUUAAGCAUAUCAAUAAGCGGAGGAAAAGAAACUAACAAGGAUUCCCCUAGUAACUGCGAGUGAAGCGGGAAAAGCUCAAAUUUAAAAUCUGGCAGUCUUCUGGCUGUCCGAGUUGUAAUCUAGAGAAGUGUUAUCCGCGCUGGACCGUGUACAAGUCUCCUGGAAUGGAGCAUCAUAGAGGGUGAGAAUCCCGUCUUUGACAUGGACUGCCAGGGCUUUGUGAUGCGCUCUCAAAGAGUCGAGUUGUUUGGGAAUGCAGCUCAAAAUGGGUGGUAAAUUCCAUCUAAAGCUAAAUAUUGGCGAGAGACCGAUAGCGAACAAGUACCGUGAGGGAAAGAUGAAAAGAACUUUGGAAAGAGAGUUAAACAGUACGUGAAAUUGCUGAAAGGGAAACGCUUGAAGUCAGUCAUGUCGUCCAGGGAUCAACCUUGCUUUUGCUUGGUGCACUUUCUGGUUUGACAGGUCAGCAUCAAUUUUGACCAUUGGAAAAAGGCUAAGGGAAUGUGGCAUCUUUGGAUGUGUUAUAGCCCUUAGUCGCAUACAAUGGUUGGGAUUGAGGAACUCAGCACGCCGAAAGGCCGGGUUUUUAACCACGUUCGUGCUUAGGAUGCUGGCAAUAUGGCUUUAAUCGACCCGUCUUGAAACACGG